GACCAGACUAAAAUCCUUUAUACGAGCUUAUUAUUAUCAUUACUUUUUAUUUAGCACAGAAUUAUUUUUCUCUUCAGAAUGCCACAGAGAAGUGUUUCGUUGUCUAAUAAUGCGGUACACGUUACAAACCAUCGUGUCGCACUGCUGCCGCUGGGAUUACACUCUACAAUUGCAAAUGCCAUUUUGUAAUCACUGAACGGCUGAAGCUAUUGUAAUACUAUUUUCUAAAUAACAUAUAAUAAAAAAGAUGAAUAUAAAACUU